rnacentral:rRNA from 1 species
AUUGCACGCUGGCGGCAGGCUUCACCCCUGCAAGUCGAGCGAGCGGCGGACGGGUGAGUAAUGUCUGGGAAACUGCCUGAUGGAUGGGGAUAACGACUGGAAACGGUAGCUAAUACCGCAUACCAUCGGAUGUGCCCAGAUGGGAGUAGCUAGUAGGUGGGGUAAAGGCUCCACUAGGCGACGAUCCCUAGCUGGUCUGAGAGGGUGACCAGCAACAGUGGAACUGAGACACGGUCCAGACUCCUGCGGGAGGCAGCAGUGGGGGAUAGUGCACAGUGGGCGCAAGCCUGAGGCAGCCAGGCCGCGUGUGUGACGAAGGCCUUGGGGGUGUAAAGCACUUUCAGCGAGGAGGCGUUACUCGCAGAAGAAGCACCGGCUAACUCCGUGAAAGCAGCCGCGGUAAUAC